rnacentral:rRNA from 1 species
GAUGAACGCUGGCGGCGUGCCUAAUACAUGCAAGUCGAACGAGGUGCUUUUGUAGCAAUACGAGGGUAUCCUAGUGGCGAACGGGUGAGUAACGCGUUGGUGACCUGCCCCGAAGUGUGGGAUAACAGUCCGAAAGGAUUGCUAAUACCGCAUGUGGCCAUCGGGUUUAGAAACCGAUGUCUAAGGCAGCAAUGCGCUUUGGGAGGGACCUGCGUCCCAUCAGCUAGUUGGUGAGGUAACGGCUCACCAAGGCAACGACGGGUAGGGGGCCUGGGAGGGUGGCCCCCCACAAUGGAACUGAAACACGGUCCAUACACCUACGGGUGGCAGCAGUAGGGAAUAUUGCACAAUGGGCGAAAGCCUGAUGCAGCAACGCCGCGUGAGCGAAGAAGGCCUUCGGGUCGUAAAGCUCUUUUCUGGGAGAUGAGAAAGGACAGUAUCCCAGGAAUAAGUCUCGGCUAACUACGUGCCAGCAGCCGCGGUAACAC